CCUACGGGAGGCAGCAGUGAGGAAUAUUGGUCAAUGGGCGCAAGCCUGAACCAGCCAAGUAGCGUGAAGGAUGACGGCCCUACGGGUUGUAAACUUCUUUUAUAAGGGAAUAAAGUGAGGCACGUGUGCCUUCUUGCAUGUACCUUAUGAAUAAGGAACGGCUAACUCCGUGCCAGCAGCCGCGGUAAUACGGAGGGUCCGAGCGUUAUCCGGAUUUAUUGGGUUUAAAGGGAGCGUAGGUGGGUUGUUAAGUCUGUUGUGAAAGUCCGCGGCUCAACCGUAGAAUUGCAGUUGAAACUGGCAGGCUUGAGUGCAGAUGAGGUAGGCGGAAUUCGUGGUGUAGCGGUGAAAUGCUUAGAUAUCACGAAGAACUCCGAUUGCGAAGGCAGCUUACUGAACUGUCACUGACGCUGAUGCUCGAAAGUGUGGGUAUCAAACAGGAUUAGAUACCCGUGUAGUC
rnacentral:rRNA from 1 species